CGAGUGGCGAACGGGUGAGUAACGCGUGAGGAACCUGCCUCAAAGAGGGGGACAACAGUUGGAAACGACUGCUAAUACCGCAUAAGCCCACGGCUCGGCAUCGAGCAGGGGGAAAAACUCCGGUGGUGUGAGAUGGACCCGCGUUUGAUUAGCUAGUUGGUGGGGUAACGGCCUACCAAGGCGACGAUCAAUAGCCGACCUGAGAGGGUGACCGGCCACAUUGGGACUGAGACACGGCCCAA
rnacentral:rRNA from 1 species